CAACCCUCAAACCCCCGGGUUUGGUGUUGGGGAUCGGAUUGCUAGUCAGUCCGGCCCCGAAAUCUAGUGGCGGUCACGCUGCAACUUCCAUUGCGUAGUAGAUAACACCCCGCAACUGGUACGCGGCGCGGCCAAGCCGUUAAACCCCCAACUUCUGAA
rnacentral:misc_RNA from 1 species